rnacentral:tRNA from 1 species
UCUUUCGUAGUCCAAUGAAAGGAUAUCUCCCUGCGAAGGAGAAGAUCGGAGUUUAAUUCUCCGCGAAAGAA